AACGAAGAGGUAUCGUAAUUGAAGAGGUUUGGAAAGACCCACCACAGAAGGUAAUAGUCCUGUAUGUUAAACGAGAAGACUUCAGAUAUGAUCCAGAGUACUACGGGACACGUGAAACCCUGUGGGAAGCAGGAGGGACCACCCUCCAAGGCUAAAUACUACCUAGUGACCGAUAGCGUAUAGUACCGUGAGGGAAAGGUGAAA
rnacentral:rRNA from 1 species